rnacentral:ncRNA from 2 species
AGUAAACUUUAGGGGCGCUGAUAUAUAAUAUCGGCUGAGAUAGUACCCUUUGAACCUGAUCUGGUUAGUACCAGCGAAGGGAAAAGUGAAAAUCGUUUU